AAGAUCCGUGCCCAGACAGCGCCAGCUUCCUAUUUUUAGUCCCCAGGCAAUACGCAGAGCUGUGGCAGGGUCCCGUUUUACAUGGGUCUGUGCUUUUUGUGGGGAGAGCAUACUGGUGAGGGCCCUUUUUGGCCCCCCGGUUGUUCUCCGACAUGCUGCGUUUACGAUCCCGCAUCGCCCUUGCCUUUCUCGCAGGGACGGUUCAGACUUAGAUGUGCCUCUGGGAGAUGGUUCCUCCCAGAAGUGAAAAAUGGGGUGAACGUUCCCUUCCGCUGGCUUUUCACCUGCUCUAGAAACAAGGAGGAAAAGGAUGUUUCCUUGUUAGCGUGCACCCACCACCUUCAGUUCUGUUCUUUUCUCAGGGCCUCGGGAUUUGGGACUUCUUUGUGCCCCAGUCGUUAUAAUACGGCGAUAACUUUUGUAUGAGUGUCUCCACAGCACUCUGAAACAGCACUUCCUUACUUUGCAGGGCAGUUGUGAGAUUUUUUUCUCCUCAGCCUGAUUAAAGGCAAGAAUCCCGGCUGUGCAGGGGAGCAUACAGAAAGGCAUGAAGAUGGUUUCAUAAAUGAUGAUCCAUCAAGAAAAGAAAACUACUCAGUUUUGCGUCCAAUGUCUUGUCAUUCCCUGUGUAAAACCACCACUGAAGACACAAAAACAAAGGUCUCCCAAAUACCUUCAGUCCAACAGGCAGAGGAGGAUUCACCGCUGAACAUUUUAAAUAAGUGUGUGGCUGCCAACAUGUUGCAGGAACUGGGAGAGAAGUUGCAGCCCUUUGCUAGUUAUGAGACUGGUUUCCCUCAGGGACUUGUGAAUAUGCUGGCCUGUAACUGGAGAGAACUCACUGAGGGGACUGAUUGUAAUAAAUGGCACCAGAAGUCACUAGCAUACGAAAGUGUGAGAUCCAGGAGAAGGCAGGCCUCAGAGGAAGCUAAGAAUGGUGCUCCCGGGUCCAAAUGUAUGCAGCAUGAAAUCCCUGCCAUCAGAAAAGACCAAUACAAGAGGAGCUUUGCUCUGUCAGCCUGUGCUACAAAGGAAAAAAGAAAUGCUGAGACAGCAUCAAACACACCUCUAGGAAGUAAAGCUCCUGUUGUGCAAAACCAUACCAGCCAGUCACCUGUCGCAAUCAGCUUCUCGCUGUCAUCCAAAAUUUGUGAGGAAAGAGGUUGGAUUUUCCAGCCCUCUGACUCAAAUGCUGAAGAUCUGCCUUAUGUGCGGGCACUGAAGAGACUACAACAAAUUCAAAAACAAAUGUAACAAGCUGAGGUUUUUAUUUCCGUAGGCAAAGUUAGAAUAUAUGGCAAUGUUUUUAUGAAGUAGAAUACAAAUGAUGGGAGACCAUUUAACCAAAUUGACACACUAGUCUGGAAAGCAUUACUGUUCCAAAAAGUUUGAGGGCUCAGCUUAACAUUCCACUGUUCAUGAAAGGGAAGCAUUUACUUUUAUUUUAGUUACUGGAAAUGGAAGAUAGAAGUUAUCUCAACAGAGAUAUUUUCAAGGUUUAAUGGUGAGACAAGAUUAAUAUUCUCUGAUUAUCGUUAAUCUAUAGAUUAACUUUCCAACAGUUGUAAUAACCUGUUUGAAUAUCUUUUGCAACAGAAAUCAUGGCUAAUGAAAACCACUUUGCAUGUUUAUAGUAUACUGUGAUCUCUGUAGCUUGUGGCCUUGUCAGGGCCUGAGAGAAGACUAUCGUAACGUAUUAUCGCCAGAAUCAGGCCAUUAGAAUUCUUCAUGCUGCUUAUACUUAUCCCUUUUAUUUUCACAUUGCACAAGAUGGCUUUACCUCCCUGUAGACAUCUCAUAGAGAAUUGGUCAUGUGUUUAAAAUAGAUGGUAGUCUCCAAAUACACCAGUCAUUCCUUGAGUGCCAACAUUAGUGGUAAAAUAGAGAGUAUCAAGGGAUAGCAGAUGACACCUGAAAUAGUUAAGUUCUACCCUGCCUGGAUCAAUUCUCUGUGGCGUAAGUGCUGGAAUUUGUAAACCAGACUAGGUUUAAAUGAAAAAUCUUUGGUGAUUCGUAAUUAUAAGCAUUGAUGACUUAUUAAGGUUAACCUGUAUAAAUUUGUAUCCACAGCACGGUUUAUGACUUUCAGUUGGUACAUAUCCUGCUGUUUAACUGGUAGUUCAUGUGCACUGGCAAUAACUUCAAAUGUAUUCAGAUUUAAUAAAACCAGCAUAGUAUCUUAGGUGAAAAAUGAU
ensembl:lncRNA